GACGAACGCUGGCGGCGUGCUUAACACAUGCCAGUCGAACGGAAAGGCCCUGCUUUUGUGGGGUGCUCGAGUGGCGAACGGGUGAGUAACACGUGAGUAACCUGCCCUUGACUUUGGGAUAACUUCAGGAAACUGGGGCUAAUACCGGAUAGGAGCUCCUGCUGCAUGGUGGGGGUUGGAAAGUUUCGGCGGUUGGGGAUGGACUCGCGGCUUAUCAGCUUGUUGGUGGGGUAGUGGCUUACCAAGGCUUUGACGGGUAGCCGGCCUGAGAGGGUGACCGGCCACAUUGGGACUGAGAUACGGCCCAGACUCCUACGGGAGGCAGCAGUGGGGAAUAUUGCACAAUGGGCGGAAGCCUGAUGCAGCAACGCCGCGUGCGGGAUGACGGCCUUCGGGUUGUAAACCGCUUUCGCCUGUGACGAAGCGAGAGUGACGGUAAUGGGUAAAGAAGCACCGGCUAACUACGUG
rnacentral:rRNA from 1 species